GCCAACACCCACAUGUCCAGACUGAGAAAGGUCCAACAUGAGAUGGAGGAAGCUCAGGAACGUGCUGACAUUGCUGAAUCUCAGGUCAACAAACUGAGAGCCAAGAGCCGUGAUGCUGGAAAGGGUGAAAGUGCUGAAUAAGACACAUUCUUUUGGAACUUUUUGGCAGUGUUCAUAAAAUAUGAACUAACUGUUAAAUUGUCUGCUUAUGAUGUAUUAAUUCAAUAAACACUUUCAUUAUGAUUUCAUGAAA